AUUGAACGCUGGCGGCAGGCCUAACACAUGCAAGUCGAGCGGAUGAAGGGUGCUUGCUCCUGGAUUCAGCGGCGGACGGGUGAGUAAUGCCUAGGAAACUGCCUGGUAGUGGGGGAUAACGUCCGGAAACGGGCGCUAAUACCGCAUACGUCCUGAGGGAGAAAGUGGGGGAUCUUCGGACCUCACGCUAUCAGAUGAGCCUAGGUCGGAUUAGCUAGUUGGUGGGGUAAAGGCCUACCAAGGCGACGAUCCGUAACUGGUCUGAGAGGAUGAUCAGUCACACUGGAACUGAGACACGGUCCAGACUCCUACGGGAGGCAGCAGUGGGGAAUAUUGGACAAUGGGCGAAAGCCUGAUCCAGCCAUGCCGCGUGUGUGAAGAAGGUCUUCGGAUUGUAAAGCACUUUAAGUUGGGAAGAAGGGCAGUAAGUUAAUACCUUGCUGUUUUGACGUUACCAACAGAAUAAGCACCGGCUAACUUCGUG
rnacentral:rRNA from 1 species